rnacentral:lncRNA from 1 species
AGGGCCUGAUGAUGCUCAACAGAAAAUAGAACCUCAUCACACAGCAGUGCUUGGAGAAGGUGACAGUGUCCAGGUGGAGAAUAAGGUACGUGUUAGAAAUUUUUACUUUUCUUAACUUGUACUUCCUGCUAGUUUCUAGGAAAAUACUUCAAUCUAUUUAUUUAUUUACUUACUUACUUAUCUAUUUAUUUAUUUUUAUGUGGUGCUGAGGAUCAAACCCAGGGGCCUUGCACGUGCUAGGCAAGCGCUCUACUGCUGAGCCACAACCCCAGCCCUCCUUCAAUCCCUUGUAUAGCUGGAAAUUGUUCUUUCUUCCUGGGAGAGUAAAUUAUGCCACAAAUUUAUCAAUCCCUUUCAUUAAUUUAUGCUAUUUUUUAUUCAUUUAUUUUAAAGUUUCGUGUAUGUUGAUUCCUCAUCUUCAGGAAUCAUAUGAAGCCCCCUCUUGUUUGAACCUGGAGGCAUCUUUGUUGUCUUUAAUUUUCAUCCUUUGUAAAACUGGUUUAUUUUGCUUUUAGCAUAAGUAAAAAUGAUUUGGCCCUCUAGAAGUGUAAAUAUUGACCUGCACGCAUACUCACAUAGAGCCAUUUGAAAAUAAUCCCCAUUUGGAACUGAGGGGGCCAUGGGAUGUGUUUCAUCUCCUUUUUUGGAUGAUUCUCUGUUUUAUAAGUAAAGGUUAAUAUUUUAAAAGUCCCGAGAGGUAUUUUGUCCAGGUUGCCAAGCUUCUUUCUCAUGUCUAUUUCAUUCUAUUGAGUGGCUCGCUCACCUUCUUGUGAGUCUGUUAAUGCAAUGGGAUGACUUUGGGUCACUCUAAUAGAAAAGAUUAAAGAGACAAUUGUGCAAAAGCUUCUGAAAAGAUGAGUUUUGAGAAGUAGAAAUGAGAACUAUUUCAGUGUGCCAGUGACUGAUAGAGAGGUAGUGUGACUCAUUUCUGACCCCCGACCCUUGUCGUACAGAGUGUAAUGGAUUUUAGGAAUUAUCAUAUCUUAGCCCACCUUCCUGGAAGUCACUUUCUGCUGCUUUCCUCAUUUGCAGCACCUCCAUGAACUGUAAAGUAAAUAGGAGAAAAAUCUCAUGAGCACCAGAAAGAGUGCAUAUCUCAGAAUCAAUGCCCUGAAUGUUAGGUCGAACCAUAUGAAAUUGCCAUUUUUGACCUACAAAAAUGCAAUUUCACAUAUUUCACUCCAAUUCAGAAAAGAGGCAUGAAAGCUAUACAUGGGCCAGAAUCUACUGAUGUCAGAUUAGCUUGCAAUAUUAUUUAACUUAGCAGCCUCAUUUCUUUGCAGAUAAUAAGGAUUUAGAAGGUAAAAUGGAACACCAGGAAGAAAUGAUGAGGGGAGUCAGAGCACAGGGGACAACUGGGAUAGAAAGGAAUUAGCUAAAAAUCAUCAACACAUGGGCAAGCAGCACUCCUGGUUCAAAGAACUAUUCUGCCAUUGUUCUGUGUAUAAGCUAUAGCCUGCACCAUCCAAACCUUAGAAAGAUUUCUAUCUAAAAAAUGGUUUUUAAAAAUUAGCAUUUAAAGAGUGCAUGUUCUAUCCACAAGAGAGUAGAAAUUUCCCCUUAGAUAACAUCAGUAAAGGGAUUGUAAAGAUUUGAAUCUUGGCUUUGCCACCUGUUCUUUAUGACACUUUAGUGGGCUGGGGUUGUGGCUUAGCAGUGCAACUAGCACGUAUGAGGGACUGGGUUCAAUCCUCAGCACCACAUAUAAAUAAAUUAAAAAUAAAGGUAUGUAUCAUGACAACUCACAAUUUAAAAAAAAUUUAAAAAUUGAAAUAAGGGGCUGGGGUUGUGACUCAGUGGUAGAGUGCUUGCCUAGCAUGUGCGAGGCCAUGGGUUUGAGCCUCAGCACCACAUAAAAAAUUAAUUAAUUAAUUAAAAGGUAUAAAAAAAUUGAAAUAACUGAGGCCAACUUCAGAGAUUGUUAAGAAUAUUUGAAAUGAUCUAAGAGUCUAUUUAUAUCUAGCACGGGGGUCAGUAAAUGAUGUGUACUAGGCCAAAUCCAAAUAUGUCUUCAUAAAUAAAGUUUUAUUGUAUCACAGUCACAUCUAUUCUUUUCUGUAUAGUCUAUGGAUUCUGUCACACCGUAAAGGUAGAAUUGAGUUGCUGUGUUCUCACAAAGCCUAAAAUUCUCUGCCCUUUACAGAGAAAGCUUGCCAAUCCUUGGUGUAAUAUAUUGGAGGUGCCCAAAAAUGGUAGCUGGAGAGUUUACUGAUCCAAAUACCUCAUUUAACAGACACUUAUAUCACAUACAUGUUAUAUCAUAAGGAUCUGUACAUACCCUACCUAGGCUUGAAGGCAAUUUCUACAGCUAAAAAAAGUCCCUAAGGGACCCUGACUCAGUCAGGCUGUAAGCCAGGUUUAUCUUCAAACUUCAUCUCAGCAUCAUGCCUGUCUUCUUGGCUAACAGUGAUGGGGAAAGUUUCCUCUAGAGGGGCCAAUCUCUAGGACAGGAAAGGAGGGCAAAACAAGAACAAUGUAUAAAACCAUGCCUUCUCUCUAUCAGGUUCCUUUCCUCCAUCUCAGCAUUAAUUUGACCAAUCUCAGGCUAACACAUGUCAGCCUGCAGGUACCCUCUUGGCCAUUAUUCUGCAGUCUGCUGUAGCAGAAGGAAUUGCAGGGGGCUUGGUUUAUGAUAGAUUUAAGAGUCUUCUGGCCACACCCUUUGACUUCCUAGAGAAAGCCCAAACCACAAUGGUUUCAAAACAAACUUAGAUUUUUCAGAGUUCUUAGAGAUUAGAAUCGACCUCAGGCUACCCAGGACAUUUCAUCCUGGACCAGUCACCCUGGAAUGGUCUGUUUCAAGGGCUAAGGCUCCCUUUGCUGCUUGGGCCUCCCAGUUGUUGCUCUGAACUUUCUCCUGAGAGAUGUUUGUCCUGAUGGCUCUAUGAUAAGGAGCACAUAAGUUUGAUAUGAAACACUCCAUCUCACCUUUAGACCCUAUUUAUACUAGUUUUCUAUUUAUUAUUAACAGUCUCACCUGUAGUAUACUGAGGUAAACAAUCAGUUCCUCAUUGACUACCUUCAGAACCAUUCUUGGGAGUAACCAGUCUCUCAAGCUGGCACCAUUUGUGCAGAAUUCACUAAAAUAAAGACAUGAAUAUUUGAUUAAAUAUAACAUUUCAGCCAGGCUCAGUGGUGCACACCUGUAAUCCCAGUGGCUUGAGAGGCUAAUGCAGGAGGAUCGCGAGUUCAAAGCCAACCUCUGCAAAAGCGAGGCCCUAAGCAACUCAGUGAGACCCUGUCUCUAAAUACAAAAUAGGGCUGGGGAUGUUGCUCAGUGGUUGAGUGCCCCUGAGUUCAAUCCCUGGUACCAAAUAUAUAUAUAUAUUUUAUAUAUAUAUAUUAUAUAUAUAUAUAAUAUUUGAUUAAAAUAACUAUGGAGGGGCUGGGGCUGGGGCUCAGUGGUAAAGCACUUGCUUCACAUGUGUGAGGCACUCAGGUUCAAUCCUCAGCACCACAUAAAAAUAAAUAAAGAUACUGUGUAUUCAUCUACAACUAAAUAAAUAUUUAAAAAAAUAACUAUGGAAAGAGAAAUAAAAUACCCCAUUUUUGCUUAUUUAUGUGUAAAAAUUUCAUGAUGAAAGAAACCACUAAUUUUUAAAAACUGCAGUUAAUUGUUUUAUCUUUCCAUUGGCCUAAGAAGUAUAAACAAUGAAUUCUAGUAAGAACAAGUAUAUGCAAUUAAGCCAUGCUAAAGUUCAGUUCCUUUCUGGUCAUUUUUAAUGUAAUAUGUGACUAUGAAAAAUGCUACUAUAGCAAAAGCAUGCCCUUUGAUUAAUUCUCAAAGUCCUGCUGUUAUCCCAAACUUUGUAUUUAUAAUCAAUCACACAAACCAAGAAAGGCAUAGUUUAGAAGUUAUUAACACAUUAAAUGAAUCAUAGGACUCUCAUCUGGACUUUAAUCAUCUGUUGUUAGUAUCAGUGGAACUCAAGACAUAUUUUGGCAAUAAUACUUAUGGAAUAACAAGCAAUUUUUAAAAGUAAGUUUCUUUUUAUCCUUUUAGUACUGGGGAUUGAACCCAGGGGCCUUAACCACUGAGCCACAUCCCCAGCCCUUUGUAUAUUUUUAUUUUGAGACAGGCUCUUGCUAGGAUGCUUAUGGCCUUGCUAAAUUGCUGAGGCUAGCCUCAAACUUGCCAUCCUCCUGCGUCAGCCUCCUGAGUUGCUGGGAUUACAGGCAUGUGCCACUGUACCCAGCUAUUAAAAGUAAGUUUUAAAAUGGCAGCCAUUAUGAAGUCAAACAACAACAAGUGCUGGUGAGGAUGUGGAAAAAAGGUACACUCAUACAUUGCUGGUGGGACUGCAAAUUGGUGCAGCCAAUAUGGAAAGCAGUAUGAAGAUUCCUUGGAAAGCUGGGAAUGGAACCACCAUUUGAGCCAGCUAUUCCUCUUCUUGGUCUAUACCCAAAGGACCUAAAACCAGCAUACUACAGGGACACAGCCACAUCAAUGUUUAUAGCAGCACAAUUCACAAUAGCUAGACUGUGGAGCCAGCCUAGAUGCCCUUCAAUGGAUGAAUGGAUAAAAAAAAAAUGUGGCAUUUACACACAAUGGAAUAUUACUCAGCACUAAAAAAUAACAAGAUCAUGGCAUUUGCAGGGAAAUGGAAGGCAUUAGAGCAGAUUUUGCUAAGUGAAGUUAGCCAAUCCCCCAAAAACAAAUGCCGAAUGUCUUCUCUGAUAUAAAGGGGGGGGGGAUGACUCAAAAUGGGGUAGGGAGGAAGAGCAUGGGAAGAAGAUUAGAUAGGGAAGAUGGGUGGGACAGAAAGGGAGGGAGAAGGGGAAUUGCAUGAAUGGUGGCAGGAGACCCUCAUUGUUAUUCAAAAUACAUGUAUGAAGAUGUGAGGGAAAAAAAAGAAUAGUGUUACCUUAGAUUAGGUAGAGAGACGUGAUGGGAGGGAAGGGGAUUAGAUGAGGGGAUAGGAAGGAUAGUAGAAUGAAACAGACAUUAUUAUUACUGUGUGUAUAUAUGUGAAUGCAUGACCAAUGUGAUUCUGCAACCUGUACACUCAGAAAAAUGAGAAAUUAUAUUCCAUCUGAUUCAAAUGUAUCAUACGUCAAGGUCAAUGUACUGUCAUGUGUAACUAAUUAAAACAAAUAAAAAAAAUUUUAAAAAGUAAGUUUUAAAGUAAGGUGCAAAGGGCCUAACUCUGAGCCAGAAACUCUGAAAAUGUACACUAAAGUAAAAGACAUGACCUCAGCCUCCAAAGAUCAUGAAUUUUAGUUGUGGUUAUUCUAUGUGUAGUAAGUGGGCCUCUGUUAUCUUUGUAUUUUCAUUAAACUCCACAAAGAUAUUUACUUAGAGCCACGCCAGGACUCAUGUCUUAAACAGGUCUUUCAUCUUUCUUUGCUGUUGCAUGAUUUUCAUCAUCUUCCACCAUUUGCAAGGUCACUGUAGAUGAGCAGUUUCAAGAUAACGGUAACUGGGAUUUCAAAUCACAUCAGUGCUCUACUGAAUAUCCAAAACAAUAACCAGAGUUUACCAAAGAAGACUAGUUAAGGGAAGCAAAAACGAUAUAUAUUUUUUGAAAAGACACAAAAUGGAUCUAGUUUAGAUUACAGGAGAGGAAGCCACCACUCAGAGGUUAAAUUUGUAGAAAAGUCAUUGAAAGAAAUGUGGACCAUCCUGUGGAUUUCUGCAGUGAUUAGAUAAACCCAAUCCGCCAAUUCCCAGGAGUUUAAUAGUUUUGCAUUUUCACACAAAAUGCACAUGUCUUUGUAUCCUCCUGCCCAAAUAAUAAUUGAAAAGUCAUUUUAUUUGAGUAAUAUCAAAAGAACAAACUUAUUAUUUUCAAGACUUUAUCAUUCCAAAGUUUAGGACAUGCUUACCAGUCAAGAAAAAUCUCUUUUGAAUUAAGAAAUGAGAAGCACAUACACCAUAUAGGAGAUCAGCCUUUCUUCUCUUAACCCCUAAUCCUUUCUCCUCUGCUUCCUGACCCUGGAACUCAAGUAUAUCUCCUUGCCCCUACUAAAAAACACCCCCAAACACUAUUAAAUGACUUCCUCUUUCAGAUCAACUUAUAAAUAAGGUCUGUUGUUUCGCACUAAAAUUUUCUCUCUCCAAAACCAUCAAAGAAUGAAUCUUUAGUGAUAAGUGACAAUUAAAUUAAAAAUUAAUUAAAAUUAAAAUUAUUAUUGAGUUUUUAUGAUCUAAAACUAAUGUAGUCACAUUGGAAAAAAAAAAAAAGAAAGAAAUCAUUUCAGAUAGAAACCUUUCCCUGCUUCUUUCCAUGCUAGAAGCAUUCCCCAAAACAUGGUAAAUGUUCUCUGUGUGCCCAGGGAAAGUAGCAUUAUGACAGGAAACACUGGCUAUGGUGGGUAGACUAGGCCAAUUUUUUGGAAGAAGGCUAAAACUGUAAAGAUUGUCUUGAGCCUUGAGUGUAUUGAACCCAACUACAGAUCUAAGAAAUUGGUAGUAUUAAGAAAUGCAAGUAUUUUGAAUUGGAAGGAGAUAAGAGAAAGGGCCAAACAAUCCAGUUUUGUGCUUCAUUUUAGAUAAUAAAAUCUUGAGGUCAUAUGCAUUUCAAAAAAAAAAAAAAAGAAAAAGGAACCUUCCCCUUUCCUGUGGACUUAUAUGAUGCAUAAUUUAACUUAUUCAUAACCUUGGGUUAUCAGUAUAUAUUGCCCAACUAUGAAGUCUUCAGGGCUUGCUUGCUUCUAUAUUAAAUGGGUCUAGACAAAUUUUUAAGCUCAUGUGCCUCUUUUUCAUAGGUUUUUUUUAUUUUUCAUUUUUGUCAUUGAUGUUAAGCUGUCAAGUUUUUUUUUGUAUUGUUAUACAGUAGUGCUUUCCUGUCUUGCUUUGCAUCUUUUAUAAAUCUAAUAACCAUGAAGUCUAAAAGUUAGAAUUGUGUAUCAAGCAAGAAUAAGUAGGGACUGAGUGAGGAUCUAUGCUAAAACUGAAGAAAUAAUUUUAGUUAAUGGGCUUUAGGCCAGCUAUUUUUAAACAUUUAAAUUAGCAGAAGCUGUUUUAGGUUUACUCCUUGAUUUUCAGCUGGUUCGCAUUUACACAUUUUGAAAGCUAGUUGGAUUAUGGAUUGAAAAGAUAAUGAUGCAUAGAUAUGCACCUUGGGAAUGAUCGAACAAAUUUUCUUUAAUUUUAUUUUUUUUUAAUGUGAUGCUGAGGAUCGAACCCAGUGCCUCACACAUGUGAGGCAAGCACUCACCACUGAGCCAUGAUCCCAGUCCUGAACAAAUAUUUUUUAACAUGAAAAAGUGAUUAAAUCAUCAACUAAGUGGAUGUAUUAAAUGAUACCUGCCCUGGGGUUGAAGAAACCAUCUACUUUACUUUCCCAUUUAAUUUUUUUGAAGUUGAAAGACCAGGAGAAGAAACAAAUUUCAGUCCUAUAAAAUAUGGCAGUUUUGAUUAAAUACAUGGAAAAGUAAAGAGUUAAUUAUUAAUCUUUGUUGUAUCCAGUAAUAAAUCUGGGACUGGAAACAUUAUGAUGAUUUCUAAAACUUUAUGUUAAUAGAAGUACAUAAAUAUAUGAUAUUGUUUAAAAUAAUGGUAUGAUAUUUAGGUAAAUGUUGAAUUAUUAGGAAAUUGGUGAAGUUUUAGAAAUUUUCAAGGUUUUGUUUAAAAGGACAUAAUCAGGACUGGGUUGUGGCUCAGCAGUAGUGUGCUCACCUAGCAUGUGUGAGGCCCUGGGUUCAAUCCUCAGCACCACAUAAAAAUAAAUAAAAUGAAGGUAUUGUGUCCAACUACAACUAAAAACUAAAUAUUAAAAAAGUACGUAAUCAUUUUGCUUUUUGUUUUUUCUAAAUUAGAUAAACCCAAGAGAAGAUUAAAAAAAUACAUAGUGUUCAAUUACCUAUUAGUAACAAACCACCCUGCAAUGUUUUGCCUUAAAACAAUAAUAAUUUAUACUUUUUCACAAUCAUUGAGAAUCUGCUGUUUUCUCUAGUGUCAUUCAUGUGACUCGAAGGCUAGUGGUUGGCUCAGCUGGGGCUAUUGUUUGGGGGUGCCUCAGUUCUGCUUUAUGUGGCCUUCCUGCUUGGCUACCUUGGGAUUCUUCACAAGAUGACAGUCACAAGAGAGCUCCCUGGAGAAAGAUUCACAGGUGGGAUGAGCUGUAGAAAUCAAACUAUAAAAGCAGAAGUUGAGAAAUCAGAGAAGUCACUAAUCCAAUUAAUCUAGUAUACUAAAGCACAUCCAGUUACUGAAAUGAGGCCACAAAAGGGAAACUGAUGGAGAAUCUACUGAAAGACUCUGUAGUUCUGCAGCCAAAAGUCUGAAAAAUGGUUCUGGGGUUGCUUUUGGUCAGCAGGGUUAGCAGUCAGGAAGAAGGACGGGUAAUAGUGUGGAGGAAAAUGAGAACAAGCUGGAACCUACUAGCACUCUCUCUUAGCAUGCUAACUAACUUUGUGAGAGCACAAAGCAGCACCACAUAUAUCUAAGUAUAUAUGUAAUUCAUUUCCAACAGAACUACAGUUCUUAAUUUCAAAUCAAAGCACAUUUGGAAUAAGUAAAUUUGUUGAAGAGUUCAUAUAGGAUAUAAGUAUGAUUUUGGAGAGAAAGGACUCUGACGGUUAACGUGUUAAUUACUUAAAAUAUUUAAAUAAUGUCAUUUUAUAAAAUGAAAUGCUCAUAUGAUUUUUUUGUCUGAAUGCAUUGCAUUAUAAAAUAACUCCUUAAACACAAACUUUUAAAAAACAUGAUUUUUUUCUUAUACAUUCUUUGUUUCUUUUUUGGGGGGGUACUGGGCUCUACCACCAAACUCCACCUUUAGCCCCCCUUUUUAACUUUUAAAAUUAGCACUCAGCAUAUUAUUGGAGCAAUUUUUUUUAAAGAGAAAAACAGAAUAAAAUUCACCUUAAUUUUCAUUACUCAGAAAGAAUCAGUGCUAAAAUUUUGGUAUGUCUGUCCCUUAAUCUUUCAAUAUAUGGUAUUUUUAUUUUCCUAAAAGUGAAAAAUACUAUUCAUACAUCAUUUUGUGGUAUUUUUAAAAACUUACAAUACAUUAUGAACAUUUACACUCUUAAGUAUUUGUUGAAAGAAAUAUUUUUAAUGGCCAUAUAAUAUUUCAUCUUAAAAAAGUAUAAUCAUAUAACCAAUCCCUCAUUACUGGAGAAUUGUUUCUAAUUUUUUCUGUAAUCAAUAGUUCUACAAUGGGGAUACUGGCAUUAUUAGAUUAGAGGACAUCAGCAAUAUUGGAGGUUUUGAAUCAUAUUUUCAAAUUGUUCUCUGGAAGGACUACUGCACCAACUUCAAAAUAUCCCAAAAGAUAUAUCAAAGUAUGUCUUUCCCUGCAUGUAUACUAGCCCUUGAUAUUAUAAUUAAUAUUUUUCCAGUUUCAGGGGGAAAAAAUCAAAUCCUCAAUUCUCUUUUUUUUCCCUUUGGUACCGGGGAUUGAACUCAGGGGCACUCAACCACUGAGCCACAUCCCCAGCCCUAUUUUGUUUUAGUUUUUAUUUUUUAACUACCCGACAGCAGUGGAAAGCAUUACAAUUCUUAUUAUAAACAUAGGGCACAAUUUUUCUUAUCUCUGUAUAUAAAGUAUGUUCAUGACAAUAUAUGCUUUUAUACAUUAUUUAUGCUUUGUUUUUUUUGCAUUACAAUUCUUAAUACAUAUAUAUCACAAUUUUUGUAACUCUGUUUGUGUAUACAGUAUGUUGACACCAAUUUAAGUCUUUAUACAUGUACCUUGUUGUUUUUUAUUUAGAGACAAGGUACCAUGGAGUUCUUAGUACCUCGCUGUUGCUGAGGUUGACUUUGAAUUCGCAAUCCUCCUACCUCAGCCUCCCAAGCUGCUGGUAUUACAGGCCUGUACCACCAUGCCCAGCAAAUCCUCAAUUCUAAUCAAAAACUUAAAAAAAAAAAAUAGGACCCUUUUGGAAAGAAACUUGCCUGAGCAGAUGUUCCUUGGAUGCUCUGUUUUUAUAAGGUUCCAUUUGGUGUAACAUAUCUGGGGCAUAUUUUACAUUAAUAGUAAUAAAUGUCAAAAGUAAAUAAAAUCUAAUUUUAUUUGGACUUAUGUAAGUAAUCUUUUCUUUUAAAAAUUAUAUCGUUAGUUAGUGAACUCUAUAACAAGCCAAGUCAGUCAAAUAGUUUGCCAUGAAGAUGUUUCCAGUUAAGAUGUUAAACUUGAGAAUGUUAAUAUUUGGGUGUCCUGAAUUUAUUUUUUAGUUCUAGUUACUACUAAAUAUCUUAAAGAAUAAAUGUUUCCAUAAUGAGUAUUACCCAGAAAAUAUUUUUGGAAUUUGUACUCAGAAGUAUGAACAUCAUUCAUUUAGUUAACAUGUCAACUAUAAAUCGUUCCUAAUUUGACAUUCAAAACCAAGCAUGUUUAUAUGUUUUCCUUGUUAACUUUAGGAUCCUGAGAGAAGCCAUUUUGUCUUAAUUGCUGGGGAGCCAUUAAGAGAACCAGUUGUUCAACAUGGUAAGCCCAAAAUGAUGCUGAUUUUCCUGGUCUAUUUUCUUUUUCUUUGAGAGUAGUGCACAUGUAUAGAUUUACUGAGAAGACUGGCUAGAUUUUCGUCCUCACUCUCCAUCAGUGAACCUAAAGAUUUUAUUUCAUUUCUUCACCAUCAGAGGAAAAUAUAUAUCUGGUGUUUAUUCCUACAUUAACUUCUGCUUUUUUUGGAAAAAAAAAUGUAAGUACUUAGAUGUGGCACAUUAAUCAUAGAGCUAUGGGAAGAAUCAAAUAGUGCUUUUGUAUUGUAUCAUAGGGGAUUUCAACUUGAAAAAAAGGUUCUGCAGUAUAUUGGGGACUUGAAUAUCAUUUUUAUCUUUACCAAAAAAAAAAAUAGUGGUUUUAAUACUGUCUUAGUUUAUUUUCUGUUGCUAUAAGAGAAUACAUGAGGUGAGAUAAUUUAUGAAGAAAAGAGUUUUAUUUUGGCUUACAGUUCUAGAGGUUGCCAAGUUCAAGAGCAUGGCAGCAAAGUAUGGUCCUCAUACUGUUUAAACUCAUGGAAGAAAGCAGAAAGGUAAAUAUGUGCAUGCCUAAGAGGCAAAACCACAAGGGGAGUCCUUGCCUUGAAACAACUGACUCAUAUGGUAAUUUAUCCAGCUGCAGAAAAAUGAAAACUCUCUCACUAGAGAAAAGCAUUAGCCCCUCUUAAUGACUUCAUCAACUCUUAAAGGCACCACUUCCAAUAUUGCCACAAUGGCAAUAAAAAUUUUCUUUCAACACGAGUUGAGGGGACAAACCACAUUCAAACCAUAGCAGAUAUUUUCCUUAUAGUUUAUUGUAUUUUUAAUGAAAAUAUGGACCUCUUAGGAAUAAUAUUUCUUUGAAAGUUUCUAUAAUUGUCCAGCCAUUCUUCUUUACUUACAAAAAUGAAUAAGGUAACUAUGGCAUUGUAGUAGUACUAUUACUUGGAGGCAGAAAAUCUUGACAUUAAGUACCCAGUCACUUCAAUUCUUUGAAUCUUGAUUUUCUCAUAUCAUUGGCAUUUGAUUAAAUGAGAAACAUUUAAAGGCACCUAGAAUGCAACUUAAUAUUUAGAUGCAUACCUACAAAACAAAUGUUUGCUUUACUAAUUAUUAAAUUCAACAUGCAUUAAAAUCCAUCAUUGUGUUACCUUGCCUUACAUGAAUUCCCAGAUAUACACAGUGAUUGCAGAUAAACCCCAGCUGAUCAUAAGUUUAAAGAACAUGGAUUGUCCUACAAAUAUUCUUUUUUUGGCUCUAUUAAUAAAUUCAGCAGGCAUAUUAAAUAAUAACCCCUAUAGUUCAUGACAUCCAUUUUGCAUAUUAACUUUUCCACUCCAAAAGUUAGUAGUAUCUUGACCUAACAGCAUUGAAAUUGUUCUUCUAGAAGAAGGCUGCAUACAAACUGAGUAGGGCCAUAAUCUCUAUUUGUAGAGACUAGAAUUUAGGUAGGAAAAAGGUGUGUGGGAUUGAAAUCUUUUAAGUUAGGCAAUUUCCUCUGCAAUUGUAAUGAAAAACAGGGGUCCAACCAAAUUAGGUGACAGAACUGUGCAUGGUGGCACACACCUGUAAUCCCAGAGGCUCAGGAGGCUGAGGCAGGAGGAUCCCAAGUUUGAGACCAGCUUCAGCAAUUUAGCAAGAUCUUGUCUUAAAAAAAAAAAAAAAGCGGGGGUGGAGGGGCUGGGGUUAUGGCUCAUCGUUUAAGCACCCCUGGGUUCAGCCCCUGGUACAGAAAAGACUUAGGUAACAGACUAAAGGGGACUGCUCAAGACCACUGUACACUUAUAUAUGUGAAUCCUCUUCCAAUGGCUUGAAACACAGGGAUACUAGGUAUGCCUACAAAUACAAACUCAGAUCAACCUAACAAAAUAGUAUGUCUCUUAAAAUAUCAGUUACUAAGAAACAAAGCAUUUUGUUUGCUUAUUUUGUUUAUUUAGCUUCUAAAGCUCAGAAUUUAAGUUUUCCUUUUACCUAAGAAUGUUUAAAGGUAGCCACCACUGUCUCUCGACUAUGUGAGAACUAGUACUGUUUUCAUGAAUUAGUUAAUAAAUACCCUGCUCCUCUUGUCACCAAGAUGUUUUCUGGAUUCUGUUUUCUUCUCGAGUCUCUGAGGAGAGAAGCUUCCAGAACAUGGCUUUGCAGGGCUAUAAGCUUCUAGUGUUUCCCUGUGUAUCAGAGCCUCAUUUCUCCAAGUGUGGUCCAAGGAUUAGCAGGAUUAUCAUCAGUUGGGAGAUAAUCAGAAAUACAGAAUCCUAGUCCCCACCCCAGAUCUCCUGUCAAAAUAGGAGUUUUAGUAAGAUUUCCAGGUGUUUGAUUUAUGUGAGCAUUAUAAAUUGAGAGACAUGGCAGAAUACCCCAGAAAGUGUCAAAAUUGAAUCCCAGAAGCAUACUACAGAAAAAUAGCUUGUACAUGAUAGUGGUGCUCCACAAGCACAAACUAUAGGAAAAUUAUGAUGUGCAGGAAAUCGGUCCUUGGCCUGAUCUAAUUUUCCAGUUUCCAUGUCCCUUUCUUCUGUGUCCUUUAAAAAGUUGGCUUCUCCAAGGUCCUCUUUUGGACUUAUUUAUUUAUUUUGGUACUGGGAAUUGACUUCAGGGACACUCAACCACUGAGCCCCAUCCCCAGCCCUAUUUUGUAUUUUAUUUUCAGACUGGGUCUCACUGAGUUGCUUAGUGCUUCUCUAAGUUGCUGAGGCUGGCUUUGAAUUGGUGAUUCUUCUGCCUCAGCCUCCUGAGCUGCUGAGAUUACAGGCGUGCGUCACUGCACCCGCCCUCUUUUGGAUUUAUUAUUUAUUCAGUAUAUAAGGUCUUUCUCAUUCUUUUCUGCCUGAUGCAGUUCAAACCUUCACUUCCAGAUGCAAUUUCUGUCAUGAGCCCCAGAUCCAUAGUCCCAACAAUGUGCCAAAGACCUCUCUGUUGGGAAACCAUUUUACUGUCUCUAAUACCUCUGUGUCAAAAUAUACAGAGCCAAACUCCUUGUCUACCAACAGCCUCCUGCAUCCUGUAUGUCAUUACCCUUAGCUCCACCAUUGACGGACUCAGCUUCCCAGGCCAGACAGCUUCUCUACCCCAAUGCCAAAAUUGCCUUUAGAAGCAACACAUCAGAUCAUGUUAUUUCCUAUUUACCCUUUCUGAUCACCUACAUAAUUAUGUCCAAACUUCUUCCUAUAGAUGGCCUCCAAAGCCCAAAAGUGUCUGGUCUCUUCCUGCAUCUCAAAUCCCCAUUCAUUUUUGCCCUUCACUCCCGCCUUGCAGCACUGUGACUCUAUCCUGAACUCCCCCAGUAUUAUGAUAGUUCUGACAGUGCCAUUCUUCUUUGUUUAACUGAACCUCACUUUCUCUGAAUCCUUUCUUGGCUCCCUCCUCCUCCUCUUUCUAUAUGGAUUCUGUAGAUUUUACAUACUUUUAUUAUUCCAUGUAUCACACUGUUUUGUAAUUUGAUUUUUUAUUUUGUUUUUAUGUCUAUGUGAUAAAUUCUAGGUCAUUCACCUUUCACCUCUGUGUCUCUAGCUUCUAGCAAAAUGUCUGUCAUUUAAUGGGUAUUCAAUAAAUACUUAAUAGAUAGAACAAAUGAAUGAAUGUAGAUGGCUUUUACUGAAUUUUCUCUUCCUAUUGGAUUCUAUUUCCCAUAAUCUCCCCAAAGAUACUCAACAUCGGUCAGGUGUAUUAUCCUGUGUCUUCAUUUUCAAGUUUUAAAUUAUAGUGAUCACCAAAUCUAUGUUGAUAUGCUAAUAAUGGUUAAGAAAUUUGAAUGUGUUAUUUCCUUUGAAGUAAUGAAAUUAUAUAUAAGUCAGGGUCUCCCAGAGGAAGACCCUUAGUGGAGAGAGUUCCAGAAAAGGAAUGCCAGGAGCCUCUGCAGGCUAGUAGAAGAAACAUAUAGAAAGGGCAAGUCUGUUAAUUGCUUUCAAGACACUGCCUUUACCAAAUGAGAGUGGGCCUUGAGAUAACUCCAGUGCCCCAUUACCCCUACAAUGUGUGAAGAAAAGGGACAAGACAGACACUUUUCCUUCUGAUAAAUUAGGGGAGAACUUGUGUACUUUUAGCAAAACCUGAUUUCAGAUCCAGGAAUUCGAGAAAGAGAUUACCAAACUAUCAUCCAUGACCCAAAUUUGUCCACAGUGUGUUUUCGUAAAUGAUGUUUUGUUGGAACACAGUCAUAGGUAGUCACUUUCAUAUUGUCUGUGGCUGCCUUUUUAUGCUUCAGUGAGAGUUGGGUAGUUGAGAUGGACAUCUGUGGACCCACAGAAUCUAAAAUAAUAUGCUCUCUGGCAUGUCACAGAAAAUAAUCUGCUGACCCUUAGGGAGUCAAAAAAAUGAUGCUUUCUUGACUUGGAAAUUUUGUAAUCUCCUGUUUAUUGUCAAUGAGAUGCUGCUAAUUUUCAAAAAUGCUUUAAAAACCUUCAUAUUCAUACAUAGCCUAAUAUACUGCUUAGGCACCUAAACUAUGAUCAGAUUUGCCAGUUUGUCAUAUCAGAUUGGUGCCAUUCUUGAUGUCACUUAAUGCUAUAAAAAUAAAAACUACAAAGUAUGGUUGUAAAGCAUAUAUAGAGAACCAAAUCUAAGAAUGUUUUGAAUAAAGAAAUUGUCCUUACUGGUGAGGUACCUUCAGUGACUGGGUGAGAUGCAAUUGCAAUUGUUCAUUUAAAGUUUGAUCUUUAUAGUAAUCUGAGAUCAUAUACAAUCCUAGGUAGGAAACCUGUAACACAGUCCUCUGGGAAAAUAAACUUUUGCUGUUCAGAAACACUUAGAUUUUAUCUCAAAUUAGAAACUACACAAAUACAUAGAUAAAAAUAUCGCCACCCAUAACUUUCUGAAUGUCUCUUUCUGUCCUAGGUCCAUUUGUGAUGAACACAAAUGAAGAAAUUUCUGAGGCCAUUCUUGAUUUCAGAAAUGCAAAAAAUGGGUUCGAAAGGGCUAAAACCUGGAAAUCAAAGAUCGGAAACUAGUGAAGAGCCCAGAAUAGGUCUUGAUGCUUCCUAGAAUUUUGCCAUUUGUGGUGUCCAGCCAUUUGAGGCAUUCAGUUUCCAAAACUGACUUAGCCAGUGCUUCUAAAGAAUUCCACAUUAAAGUGAUAACAUGGUUUUUGUGGCAAUGUAUGUAGGAUAUUUCCUGGCACAUGCAAAUAAACCUAAUUGCUA